AGGUGGAGCCUCCAGCGCCUGCCUUCAUCCCCAACACUCAGGGCUCCUCUGCCAGCCCCCACCCCAGCUCGCUGUGCGGCUGUCCCAAGCUGGUCUUGAGGCCUGGGCUUAGGGGAGGCGGAGGGGUGGGGAUGGUCAGGCCAGGAAAGCCAAGGGAUGCAGGUGGGCAGAGUCAGAACCUGUUCCUUGGAGGAAAAUUGGGCCCAACUGGGACCCUCAACCUCUGCCUCAGGUGGCAGGAUGGGCAGUUGGCAAAGGAUUGGGAAGGGAUGAGAAGAAGGCAGGUGAGUGGCCUGUCGACUUGUGUGGCUUCACUUAAGACAUCUUGUUGAGUGCCUUAUUGAGUGCCUGCGGCCAGGCGCUGCUUCACCCUGUCUCACUCUGCCUCCUACCCACACCCGGCUGCCCUCUCUGCCUCAACUUAGGGUGAGAGAGAGAGAACAUAGGUCCGUACCUGCUGAGGCAGGGGCCAGCCAGACACCCCCUGCCCAGUGCAGAUGCCCUGGCUGGAGCCCUGCUCCCCUCUCACCAGACACCCGGCACUCAGAAGGGCUAGGCUGGCUCAAGGUAGAGAGACAGGGUUGAAGUUCCCAGAGGCUGGGCAUGGGGCUGGGCCAGGGGGCCUCCCCAGGUAGGUCUGAAAGGCUUCUGGGGCCCCAAUUCCUGGCACCCAACUCUCUCUACACUAGGUUUACACUCUCUUGGUGGGAGGAGUCCCCAGUCCUGGUUGUCAUGAAGUUCCCCCUCCCCAACCCCAAGAAAGAGUGGGGAGUUGCCCUAUCCCCCUCUUCCUCCUCUCUGCCCACUUCUCCCUCAGCCCCCCCUCCCCAGCUGGGUGACCCCUCCCCUUAUUCUGUCGUGCCCAUCACCCAGGGCUUCUUCUCUCCUCUUUCCUAGGUCUCUCCUCCAAAGGUCACAGCCCCUCUCUCUUCUCAACGGGAGGGAGGGUGUCGAGGCAGAGGUGGGGGCUUGCAUGGAGGGACAGAUGGAGCCUGGGCCGAGUUGGCCACCACCUAUGGUUCUGAGCCUCUCAGCAGCUGGGCAAGGCCCCAGGCCCACCCCAAGGGAGUCCUGUCUGGAGUCGGGCUGGAAAGGGGGUCCAGGCAAGGCCUCAUACUUGGGAAAGGCCAAGGGGGUGGAGGGGGGUGGGUAAUGGGACACAAUGAGGUAGUCACACGAGGCGAAGGCAUGUUGGGGGUGGGGGGAGCGGACAUUGGAACACACACACACACAUGCUCACACACACAACCAGCCAGACAAUCGGGCCAGUGUGUCUGGGGCCUCGGAGCCCAGUGAAUUAGGAGUUUGAUAAGGGUUUUCUCUUUCUCUCGCUUGCCGGCCUUGGACAAUCUCCCCCCAGUUUUCCUCGACGCCACCCCCGGCGCUGCCAACCCUCCUCCCCCCGCCUCCCUUCUCUUCCCUGUGCCCAGACUCUUGUUCGGGGCCUUGAAACAGUGAGCUGUCUUUGUUCGAAAUACAGGUGAACGGCAAUCAUGUGAUUAACACACACACACAUAAAAAGCUUUUUAACAGCGUCCGCCCGGCCUCAGAACCGCCCAGAGAGGAGCCGCCCUGGAUGGACAGAGGGACGGAGGGACGAGCAUCCAGCUGCUUGUGUCCGGCUGCCCGCAGCAGUCUCCGACACCCGCUGCUGCCCGCCCGCUGCCCGCCUGCCUGGCAUCUCUCGAUCCCGAGAGGGCCCCAAGCGUGAGGCUGACGGUGGAGAUCCAGGCUGCCUUCCUGGGCUGAGCAGCAGAGUUUUCCUGGGAUCCAACCUGGUUCUGUGGAGGCUGGUCCCAGAUAUACUCCUCAGACGGGCCCCCGAGAGGAGGAGAGUGAGUGAAAUUCUGUGAGUCAAACGUGAAGCCCCCGAUGACCCUGCCUGGCACAGCUGCUUAGGGUCACCACUGACCCUUAACCCUUUGGGUCCCUGAGUCUUCUUCCUAGGGCCCUGGUUCUGCUUUGUGGAAGGCCCCACCCUUGAUUCCCUGCCCUGGGCCCAGCCCCUCAUCUGUCACCUGGGGUGGAUCACGUCCCUCCUUGCCUGCCUCCCAGGACCCACUGAGAGGAGAUGGGAAAUCUGCUGUCCCAUAGAGCCAGGGGCCAUGCAGGGGCGACCCGUGGUGCUGGCCAAGUUGAAUCUCUGCCCCAGCCUCAGUUUCCUUAGUGGGGCAUGAGACUCUUUUCCUGACUCCCUCAGUGGGCAGGGCUGAGGACCAGAGGAGGGGACACUGGGAAAGCCCCUUUCCAUCUCUAGGCAUGUGUGGGUGAGACCUGCUGGGCCAGGCGGUCCUCUCACUCCUUCCUCAGGCCUGUGCCCCUCCCAGGGCCUCUAACACACACCGCCCGCCUCCCGCACACUCCAGGGGGCCUUCCAUGCUGAUCUGUGAAGUCAGGGUUGGCCUAGGACAGUCCCUCUCCACAUAAACGUGCGCAGAAUCACCCGGCUCCCCCUCUGCGGGCCUGGAGUGGGGCCUGCCGAGCUCCCAGGCCUAGAGCGUUGGCUCUAGUUCUUGCUGCACUUUAGAGUCAUGUGUAGAGUUAAAAAAAAAUGCUGAACCCGGGAUCCCACCGCAGACUGGCUAAUUCUGAGUUUCUAGGGAUGGAGUCCAGACGUGUUUACUUUUUGAAACUUCCUGGGAGGCCUUGCUCUCCCUUACUGGGGUCUCUGGAGCCGUGAGGCUGUGAUGACCCCCUGCAGGGCCCAAAAUCUCCAAGGAGGGGCAGGGGACCAGGGCUCUGGACCCCACAGCCGGAGGCCAGAGCUGUAGUUACACUGGGGUGUGUAGGGAGUUGCAGGGUGUGGCAGGGGCGGGGCUGUGCAUUGGCCAGGGCAAGGGCUGAGGGGCGCGGGCCAGGGGUCAAGGGUACAGCAGGGACUGAGAUAGAAGCUUAGUCUGGGUGAGAGUAUGGGGGCUGGGGGGCGGCUCCCUUGAGUGUUUCCUAGGCCACCCCCACCUCUGGACAGGUUGUGUUCUCCUCGGUUUGGGGUGCAGUGGAAAGAGCACUGGACUUGGACUCAGGAAAUCCUGCCACUAGUACCCAUGUGGCCUUGGGCAGAUUAUGCUAUGAACCUCUUGAGACUCGGUUUUCGCAUGUGUGAAAUGUUGAUAAUUUUAUAUAUGUCACUACAUCCCCAAGCAGAUGGGAGAAUUAAAUAAGAACAUGCACACACGCAAACAUGAGUGCCAGCUCAAUGUUCGGUGCACAGUUGGGGCUCGCUGGAUGCUGAUUAGAAGCGGUGACGUGGGGCUGGGAGGCGGAGAAGAACGCGCUCUUCGAUUCAGGGCACCCGGGGCCCAAGCAGCCGCUCUGGACCUGCAGUCAGGUCUUGAUAAUCUGCCGUCAGAUCCCAAUGUCAGACCAGGGUGGUGUGUGAUGAGCUCCUUGUGGGUGGGCGUCGCCCAUCUGUGUCCCUCAACAGGGAAGGCCAAUGCUUCCAGAGCCCCCAGUGGGCCGCCUGCUCUGAGCGCUGCUGUCGCUGGGCUCUUUGGUCCUCCCAACAACCCUAUGAGUAGGUGCUGUCAUUGUUCUCCUUCUAGGAAGGAAACUGAGGCACAGAGAGGUUCAGUGACGGCCGAGCUCUCCCAGCUGAUGGUGGGCGGGCCACAGUUUACCUCCUCAGCCCAGCCCUGACUGCUCUACCGACUGCCACCAGACCCCAAGCCAGCGGGGUCCUCCUCCUUACCCCCCAGGCUUUGCACUUGUCUGCGCUCCCCUAGUCGCUGCCAGCAGCCCAGCUCAGAGGCCCUCUUUUCAGGGACACACUCCUGGACGCCUUGGUUGGAAUUCUUUUCCUGUUUUACUUUCCUGUGGAGGAGAAGGAGAUAGCUUUGCACCUCUCUCAUCUCCUCACACACAGCCUGGCACGCAGACCGGGCUGCAUCCCCUCCUGGGGGAGCCCUGAGGGCAGGGGCAUGCCCUCCUCUUGGUCUUGGCCUCUCCAGGGCACAGCACCACCUCAGGGAGUCUUCCCUGAGCUGAGUUGCUGUCAGGGUUCCAAGGAGGAAAAGACUAGGGAGGCUGGAGUGGGCAGGAGUGGCUUCCUGGAGGCAGAGGGCCUGAGCACUCACUUGGGGAGGAGGACAGCAUUCCAGGGCCUGUCCCGACAGGGGCUCUCACUCGUCCCUGUUUCUGGUCCAAGUUCAGGGUCCCGGAGCUGGGCCAGGAAGGCCGCUCCUAGUGCCCGAGUCUUCCUUCCCCUCCCAACCCCACCCUCUCCGGGAACAAGGAAGCUGGAGCCAGUGCCCAGUGCUGCCUCAGGGCAGCCGGCCUCUGCCCUCUUCUUAGGAGCCCUCAGAGAAGGGAGGCUGCUCAUUCCUGUUAGCCAAACUCAGCUGCCAGAAGGCCCUUCCUGUUGUCUCCCCUGAAUCUCUCGUGCUGCAGUGAACUUUCAUGAAUGUACCCUCUGUGCAGGGCACAGGGCCAGGAGCCAGGGCGGGGAGGUGAUGGAGCCAGACCCUGGCCUUGAGGAGCUCAGAGUUUGAUGGGAGAGACCUACACGGAACCCAGAGCCCUGGUACAGCCGAGGUCCUCCACGGCCCAACAGACGCCUGGAGACCCAGGGCGGGGGUCAAGUUCCAGCCGGGCUGUGGGGGCCACCUGUCACCUCUACUGCCUUCGUCCCUCCCUAGGCCCCAGUUUGCCCGUCUAUAAAAGGAGGGGAAGUCUAGGUUACCUCUGAGGGCGUUUCCAAAUUUGAUAGCCAGUGAGUUAUAUUUCAAAACAAGAGGCCUCUGGGCCAGCCCUGUGGCAUAGUGGUUAAGUUUCGCGUGCUCUGCUUCGGCAGCCCCGGUUCAUGGGUUUAGAUCCCGGGUGCAGACCUGCACUACUCGCCAGUCAUGCUGUGAUGGCGACCCACAUACAAAGGAGAGGAAGAUUGGCAACAGAUGUCAGCUCAGGGCUAAUCUUCCUCAAGCACAAAAAAAAAAGGAGGAAGAUUGGCAACAGAUGUCAGCUCAGGGCUAAUCUCCAGCAGCCAAAAAACCGCCCCCCCCCUGCCCCCCCAAAAUCAAGAGGCCAGUGCAUGACCCAGUGUUUCCAAAGUGGUGUCUGGGAUGCUUGGUAUCCCUCAGACAUUGGCCAGCAUCUCUUGAGAAGAGUUUUGGGGGCAAAUGCAGUCGAGAAGUACUUGCUUGCCACUUCCUCUUUUUAGAGAAGCAGAGCUUGUGAGGGUGUAAAAGCUCUAAGUUCUGCACUUGAGAAAUGCAUCUUUGUUUAAAAUACUUAUGCCCAACUCCUCUGCCUCCUGAGUACUUCCCUCUGACUCUGGUCCUUUUCUCUCCUGCAUCCUCCCUCCCAAGAGCUGAGAAGAAGGCAGGGUGCUCCUGUGGGGAGCUCUGACCCAGGGAGGGCCUGGCCGUCCUCAGGGUGCUGUCCUCAGUUUCUCAGCGCCCCCACGACCCCAGCACAGAGCUCCACAACUCCCACAGCCCGCCUUGGCCCUGCUCUUGCCCUAAGCUGCAGCCAUGUCCAUUCUCCCCACCCCCGCCCUGUGGCCCAAACCCUGCUCACAGGACACCUCGCCUGUCAGCCAGGCCUGGAGCCUCCCCUGCGUCCUGCCUUGCUCACCUUUCCAGCAGGACAUCGUCCCUGCUGGGAUGUGUACCUGCGAGCUGGGUCUUUCUCACCUUCCUCCAUGGAGCCUGGCACAUGGAAGGUACACAGUGAUGUAGAUGAAUGAAUGACCUGCAGGCAGAUGAACAUCCACAGGCAGCAAGGUGUGGUGCUCUUGAGUCAGACAGCUCCAGGAUUGAAUCCCGGCACCCUCACUUAUUAGCUGUGUGUCCUGAGUUAACAUCUCUGAGUCUCGGUUUCCUUCCAGAUUGUGGUGAGGAUUAAACCAGAUAGUGUAUGUAAACACUUAGGACAGUGCCUGGCACAUAACAGUGCUCAGUAAAUGGCAGCUAUUGUUAUUAGCAUCUCAGGAUCUGCCCUCAAAGGGUGGCUGUUGGUUGACCUUGGGUUUGACAGUGGUCAUUGCUUCUUAUCCUGUCCAAGUACUGUCAUCAGAUGUCUCCCAUCAACUCCCAGAAACCCUGGAGGCUGGCGGAGCAAGGGUAGGAUUGUGGUCCCUCAGAACAAAAGCAGAAAGGGAAGUGAUUGGCCACGACUGACUGGGGUCUUGGAACUUGACCUUCCUGUGAUGGCAUCUGCACCAGGUUCCCCAGGGACCCACCCUCAGCCAGGCUCUGCUCUCUGUGGGGUAAUGAAAAGGGGUGAGUGCUCAGCUUGUCUUCAGGGAGCUUGUCGGCGAACUGGGAGUUGGUUCAGCCAUUCAUCCAUUCCCACACACUUAUUAGGUGUCGUGGUACAGACACGUGUGAGGAUGAACAGAGGGGCGAAGGUGGAGGAAGGAAAGGUGGGGUUGGGAGGGCCAAGGUGGCCUUUAUCACAUGGACCCUUGAUGUGGCCCCUGGAGGGGCUGGAGCUGCCUUUAAUCUCUGGGCAGAGUGGGCUGUGCGGGGCUGGCAAGAGGCCUUGGUUCUUCCACCGCCAGAAGGCACCUGGGCAGCCUGAGGGGAGGAGCUGGUCCAGAUUGCCCAGUUUAGGGGGUGACAGAGCAAGGACUGGACCUGUGUCUUCCCACCCUGAGUCCCUGUCGUUUCACUCGUCAGCCAGGGCAUUAGCAGGACCAGGGCAAUGGAUGCAGAGGGGCGGGGGUGGGCUGGGUGUGAACAGAGCCAAGGCCGCCCGUGUGAGUUUGGCAUGAUGAGCACACGCUUGCUCCCAGAAGGCUCACCUCUGUCCCCUGAAAGUGAAAACGGGGUGAUCUAGCGGGACUGUAGUGUUCGUGGGAGCUCCAUGGGGCCUCCCCGCAAGAAGGUCAUCUUUUCCUUGGAUGAUGUCAGUUUGUGUUGAAAAGGGGGCUGGGUGAUGAUGAGCCUGAGAUCUGGAGCCAGAGAGACCAGGUUGAAAUCUGGUCCUUGCGCCAGUAAUCAGUGGUGGGAUUGGACCAAUUAUGUGAUCUUCCCACACCUCGAUUUCUUCAUCUGUACCAUGAGGACAAUGAUACUUGCCUCAUGGGAACGUCGUGAAGAUGAAAAAAAAAAAAAAGG